rnacentral:rRNA from 1 species
CUGCCCAGUGAUUAAGUUUAAACGGCCGCGGUAUCCUAACCGUGCAAAGGUAGCAUAAUCACUUGCCUAUUAAUUGUAGGCUAGAAUGAAUGGAUAAACGUAAUAAAUACUGUCUCAAUCGUUAUUAUAUAAAUUAACGUUUGUGCGAGGAGUCACAAAUUAAUUCGAAGGACAAGAAGACCCUGUAGAGCUUUAUUCUUAACAUAAAUAGGUUAUAUUUUGGAUUCGGUUGGGGCGACCAGGGGCAUGUUUAACACCCCCUAUUAUAAAGAUACAUAAAUCUACAAAUUGACCCUAGUAAGAUCAUAAAAAAAGCUACCUUAGGGAUAACAGGCUAAUCUCAUUUAAGAGUUCAUAUCUACAAUGGGGUUUGGCACCUCGAUGUUGGCUUAGGGUAACCGCUUAGCGCAAAAGUUAAGUAGAGAUGGUUUGUUCAACCAGUAACCCCU